rnacentral:misc_RNA from 1 species
UCUCCGUUGGUGAACCAGCGGAGGGAUCAUUACAGAGUUUUCACACUUCCCAACCCUUGCGAACCGUACUCCUUCUGUCCUCGUUGCCUCCGGCGGGGGGGACCGCGGGCCCCCAAACGUCCUCCCCGCCCCCCCCCCCGGGGACCGCCGCCCCUACGCUCCUUUAUCUCUUAACCCCCCUAAACCGGCUUCUAAAACAAACAAAAUCAUUCAACCUUUCAACAACUGGUCUCUUCACCCUUGCAUCGAUGAAGAACUCAGCAGAACAGAAGAGCCCAC